CAUCUGGCCAUCUGCACCCUUCUCUUGUGCGGAAGGGGCAGAAUGAUUCGCAAAAAUGGUCCGCCGGUGCAUCCGGGCCAAGCCACGAGACACCCCACUCGAGACAGCUCCGAUUCUUCACCAGCGAGACUUCCAAAACCUUGAUCCUCUGUUCUGCCCCCGCCAGCAGUAGCGACGCCUUCAGGAAGGGAGUGACGUCGGGGACGCCACCGCCGUCGGUCCGAAAUGGACGGGGCUUUCGCCCAUGGAAGACAGCGCUGAGAAGCACGACGCCCUCACCAGGGGAAGCGACGCCCAGGGGCGUCACCGUCGUCAAGGCUUUUGCCAAAGAAAACCCCAACACAAUGCCAAGCGAGGGCCCCGGGACAAAAGCAAGCUACCUCCGCCACCGCCGCCCUGACGCACAAACCCCGCAGCUACCGCCGGGGCCACUGCUGCCCACUUGUUGUUGCCACACACCACCACCGGGGAGCCAGAUCCGACGGUCGGCCUCGCCGUACCCACAAAGAGGCCACAGCACACCUCACCUCCUCCGCUCCUCACUGCCGCACCACCAUGGGGAGCUCGCCCGCCGGCGCUCCACAACCAGCAUCGGCCUCAGGGACGGCAAAUCCGGCCACCGGACCUCCAGAUCUGACUGCCGCCCCAAGGCCAAUCUGCUGCGGCCACCGACCGCCCCGACUUGGGCCACCGGCAGCGGCCAACUCCAUGCCCCACGAACAGAGGCAGCUUCGACGCUGGCGUGGCCCACAGCCCACGGAGCAUGCGCGCCACCGGAUCUGGUUCCAAGCGCGGCGGCCAAGCCAAGCAGGGGACGCGGGGGGCGAGGUCCCGCGGCCAUGGCCCCGCUGCCGCCAUCCUCGCAUCUGCACGGACUCCCGGCUGUCUGCUCUGGCGACGGCGAGGCUGGAGGAAGGAGGAAGCGGCGGGUGUUGUGGUGGUGGCGGAGUCGCCGCCCGUGUCACCCGCGGAGUUGCAGCAUUCUCCCUUUGAGCACUUCGGGCUGUGACUAGAGCUAUACUAUUAAUACGUUUCUCCCUCUGCAGAAAGAGAAGGAAAAAACUGGUGGAGCAAGGAAACCUCAGAAUUCGAAAGACAACAAGUGAAAUUUUCAGAAAAGCUCAUGGAUGGAAGUCGGUUGAUAGACGCAUUCAAUGAAGUUUGUAUGUUAGUAUGUCCUUUUGGUUUAACCGUGCUGGGAGCUGUAUUCAUGUGGGUGCUCUGUUCGUAAACUUGUUUAAGUUCUUAGUUUGCGAUGUCAUGCUCUUGUCACUUUCGGUGUGGCUCUUUGUUCUCUGCUUUUGGGCAAAUAUGUUAGAUGGUCUGAAACUCCUCGGUGGAAGGCUUUCCCCGUGUUAUGUUUUCUUUAGCUGAUAGUUGCGUGCGUUUUGUCGGCUUUUCGUUUUCUGGUGGCCUUAACGGUCAUGUAUGAACUAUGUUUCUGUCUAUUUCGUAAU
rnacentral:misc_RNA from 1 species